rnacentral:rRNA from 1 species
UGUAAGCGUAUACCAAAGUUGUUGCAGUUAAAACGCUCGUAGUCGGACUUUGGCAGUUCCGGAUGUGUGCACGUCGUGUGCGCACUUCGCGGGGAUUGCUUUUGUGGUCUUGCGUAGGAUGAGGCACUUUUAUUAGUGAACGUCCUCACGCAACCACUUUUUACUGUGAGAAAAUCGGAGUGCUCAAAGCAGGCAUUUGCCGUGAAUGUAUUAGCAUGGAAUAAUAGAAUAGGACUUGGUUCUAUUUUGUUGGUUUGUUGGGACUGAGUAAUGAUUAAGAGGGACAGUUGGGGGCAUUUGUAUUUCGGUGCUAGAGGUGAAAUUCUUAGAUUACCGAAAGACAAACUGCUGCGAAAGCGUCUGCCAAGGAUGUUUUCAUUGA